rnacentral:rRNA from 1 species
AUUACUCCUACGGGAGGCAGCAGUAAGGAAUAUUGGUCAAUGGGCGGAAGCCUGAACCAGCCAUGCCGCGUGAAGGAUGACUGCCCUAUGGGUUGUAAACUGCUUUUGUCCAGGAAUAAACCUAAAUACGUGUAUUUAGCUGAAUGUACUGGAAGAAUAAGGAUCGGCUAACUCCGUGCCAGCAGCCGCGGUAAUAAUC